UACGUAGGGAGCAAGCGUUGUCCGGAAUCAUUGGGCGUAAAGCGCGCGUAGGUGGCCCCAUAAGUCCGCUGUGAAAGUCAAAGGCUCAACCUUUGAAAGCCGGUGGAUACUGUGGGGCUAGAGUCCGGAAGAGGCGAGUGGAAUUCCUGGUGUAGCGGUGGAAUGCGCAGAUAUCAGGAGGAACACCAAUAGCGAAGGCAGCUCGCUGGGACGGUACUGACGCUAAGGCGCGAAAGCGUGGGGAGCGAACAGG
rnacentral:rRNA from 1 species